GACGGGACCCGCACAAGCGGUGGAUGAUGUGGUUUAAUUCGAUGCAACGCGAAAACCUUACCCACCUUUGACAUGUACGGAAUCCUUUAGAGAUAGAGGAGUGCUCGAAAGAGAACCGUAACACAGGUGCUGCAUGGCUGUCGUCAGCUCGUGUCGUGAGAUGUUGGGUUAAGUCCCGCAACGAGCGCAACCCUUGUCAUUAGUUGCUACAUUCAGUUGGGCACUCUAAUGAGACUGCCGGUGACAAACCGGAGGAAGGUGGGGAUGACGUCAAGUCCUCAUGGCCCUUAUAGGUGGGGCUACACACGUCAUACAAUGGAUGGUACAAAGGGUCGCCAACCCGCGAGGGGGAGCCAAUCCCAUAAAGCCAUUCGUAGUCCGGAUCGCAGUCUGCAACUCGACUGCGUGAAGUCGGAAUCGCUAGUAAUCGUGGAUCAGAAUGUCACGGUGAAUACGUUCCCGGGCCUU
rnacentral:rRNA from 1 species